CUGGGGUGAAGUCGUAACAAGGUAGCCGUAUCGGAAGGUGCGGCUGGAACACCUCCUUUCUAAGGAGAAUU
rnacentral:rRNA from 1 species